rnacentral:rRNA from 1 species
GACGAACGCUGGCGGCGUGCUUAACACAUGCAAGUCGAACGGAAAGGCCCUGCUUUUGUGGGGUGCUCGAGUGGCGAACGGGUUAGUAACACGUGAGUAACCUGCCCUUGACUUUGGGAUAACUUCAGGAAACUGGGGCUAAUACCGGAUAGGAGCUCCUGCUGCAUGGUGGGGGUUGGAAAGUUUCGGCGGUUGGGGAUGGACUCGCGGCUUAUCAGCUUGUUGGUGGGGUAGUGGCUUACCAAGGCUUUGACGGGUAGCCGGCCUGAGAGGGUGACCGGCCACAUUGGGACUGAGGUACGGCCCAGACUCCUACGGGAGGCAGCAGUGGGGAAUAUUGCACAAUGGGCGGAAGCCUGAUGCAGCAACGCCGCGUGCGGGAUGACGGCCUUCGGGUUGUAAACCGCUUUCGCCUGUGACGAAGCGUGAGUGACGGUAAUGGGUAAAGAAGCACCGGCUAACUACGU